rnacentral:rRNA from 1 species
UACGGAGGGUGCAAGCGUUGUUCGGAAUUACUGGGCGUAAAGCGCGUGUAGGCGGCCGAUUAAGUCUGGUGUGAAAGCCCGGGGCUCACCCCCGGAAGUGCGCUGGAAACUGGUCGGCUAGAGUAUGGGAGAGGAAAGUGGAAUUCCCGGUGUAGCGGUGAAAUGCUUAGAUAUCGGGAGGAACACCAGUGGCGAAGGCGGUGCUCUGGGCCGGAACUGACGCUGAGGAGCGAAAGCGUGGGUAGCAAACAG